UCCGUGUUAGUAUAUCGGCUAGUAUGACCGCCUUUCAAGCUGGGGCGCGGUAGAGACGGGUUCGAUUCCCGUACGCGGAA
rnacentral:tRNA from 1 species